UGACAUUUUUAUAUGUUGUUUUAAUAGUCUUUAUGAUAAAUGUCAACAAAAAUAAUACUUUUUAGAGACAUUUGGUUUUUACACACACUUAGAGAGAGGUAAUAAAAUCUCCCACUAAUGCUAAUAGCAUUCUGAUGGAGUGAAGACUUACUGGUGUGUCAAAAAGUAAGACACCUGCUCUUUUCUUAAAGUGGUUUGAAUUUCAAAAGAGCAUGAAGGAAUGCUGUUGGUAUUUAUUCAGGAAUUUGUGUGCAGAUUUGAUAGAUACCAUUUAUCUUCAGCAGAGGAAUCCGUAUUCCUGGCCUUUUUCCCCCUUGGUUAGUUUGGAUUUCCUCAAACCACUUUGCCCUUUGAAGGAUUGUGAGCUGUUAAGUAAACGAACGGGUAUGUUUCUGAGUUUGUGCUGACUGAUUUGCAACAGGACGGCAAAUUCAGCACUGAAAACAGGGUCAGACAAAUACCCUGGCUAUGAGCCUCAGCUGACUCAGACAAGCGAGGCUUUGCUUAGUGGUUUUUACCCCUCCAGUACAGAAAAGUCUUGGCUAUAGCCUCAAAGGCCUGUGGAUUGGAAGGUCUGGCAGAGCAGUAUCCACGUCAUUAUUGUUAGAAGUUGUGCAGUUGUAUUAUUGUUGAUGCUCUCAUUAACACUGGCUAUCUUGCAUGUUCUAGCCGCUGAAUAGUCAUUAAUUAUUGUGGUUAAUUCUCACAGGGAACCUAUGUUAAUUUUAAUUGAUCCUAGGCUCUCAAUUUAAAUAAGAAAGCUAGCAAAAUUAUUUUUUUUUUUUGCCUCCCCUUCUGGCUUAACAGAGAACUCACAAGUACUUAUGUGUUGAGAAAAUAGAGACCCAUUUAAUAGUGUUACCAGAGUGACACAUUAUUAACUAAGGAAAUCAGAAUGACAUACUUUUCAGAGGCUGCCUUCACAGGACACAGUGGUAAUCUCUGAAGCCUGCAGGUCUCAGUCCUGUGAUGCAGAAUAUUAUCAGUGAUAGGAAGAGAAAGCCUUGUCUCCUCAACAGUGUACGGAGGCAUCGUCCACCAGCACUGGGAGCUAAGCCUCCACUGGUGAACAGCACAGGAGAAAGACACAGGCCUGAGAAGGCUCAAAUUUACAACACAGGAAAGACGAGGGCAGCACAGGAUUAUUAAAUGGAAUAUGGGAAACGUGUGGUUUGUCUACAGUCUACACUUGUGACACAGGUACCAUGAUGUCCAUUUUAUGGAGGAGAAAACUCAGUUCCAGAAGGUUUGAAUAACUUGUCCGGAGUCGUAAGAUUAAAAGAUGCCAGACCAGGGAGCAAAAUUCAUGAAUAUCUGACUUUAAAGUCCUUACAUUUUCUUUACCUCACAGUGGUUUAGAUGAGAUGCAUUGUUCAUUGUAAAUUGAAUUUCCUUCACUACCUGCCUUUUUUCAAUGUAAUGUGAAUUCUGCAUCAUUUUGUUGAAAUGAAAAGUUCUAACCAUUAUUGUUGUAAAAUGGGGGCACUUGGGCCUUGGAGGAGAGUUCUCAUUCUGGUAGUCUGGUAAAGGGCCUCUCAGAUGGAAGACACAGCCCAGGCAAAGGCACUGAGGUGAGAACGCCGCAGCUUAGUCAUGGAGUGGAGAGUAGAUUCAUGUGAGGGUAACUGAGUGUCUCAGUAGAUGGGGGUUAUAUCAUGAGAAGGACGCGAAAGCCUCAGCAUGGAGCUGGUGAGCAGAGGGGGGCCAUUUUUCAGCGGGGAGCUUAAGGUGCUCGGAGCUGUGGUCUAAUACUGUUCGGACAGCAGCGUGUAGAUUGAAACAGAGUAGAGAUAAAUUGAGGGGAAAGUGGCAUUAUCUAUAUAAACUGUCAGGGAGUAAAGAAAUCUGGAUUUUCAUGUGUUUGAUUCAGGGAACAGUCACUUUCCCACAGAUCCUUCCCAGGGUUGUGAAUAAAUACUGUAGUGUACUGGUCAAGGAUGUGAAAUUCGGGGAAUUCAGGAACAUCCUUAGGCCACAAAGUGGAUGCUCAGAAGUUAAAUAUUCACUGGAAGUGAUAAGUGAGCAAUGGAAAUAGGAAAAUAUUAGUUCGUGCCACUCUCCUGCCUGUUGCCUUAAAUUAACCAUUCCCCUGAAAGCUGCUUUCUGCUAUUUUAUUUGGGUGAAUUAGUCACAAAUGGAAUUAUUUGGAUUUAAUGCUCUGCCGUUAUCCCUGUGUAGGUUUUUGUCUCUGUUCCUUUAAUUAAGAAGCAUUGUUGGGUUACGUUUGCCCUCUGGUCUGAGGGUUCCAGGAUGCAGCCCACUCAUGAACCUUCCAGUUGAACUAAGUCUGUUCCAGAUGCUUCUCAACACAUUUCACACUGGGUAGACAGCGGAAGUGAUCACAGGCCAACCUUUCUUGCCUCUCAGACUGAAACAAGUUCACAGUACAACAGCUUUUCAGGGCCAAUGCCACACUUCCACAAACGCCCCUGUGCCUUUGGCUUUUCCCGGGUGGCUUGUUCACAAUCACUCCACAGGUCCUGAUCAUCAGAAAUCAUCCAUCACCAUAGAAUGGCAAGGAGAAUGAGGAAUGGAAAAACAAAGUCUACUUUGGAUGGAACCGAAUGUCAUUAUAACACAUUGAUCCCCAAUAAUGAAGACAAAAAGUA